GACAUGCCAACAUUUCCAUCCACAGACAAACACACAGACACACCCACAUUUCCAAAUAUGGACACAAAGGCAUGUCCUCUCAGGCAUGUGAUCUGCAGACAGAAUUUAAUGUUGUACCUUGGUGUUUUUGUUGUGGUGAGACUUGUCCACGGGGAACUUCUUGGUUUCGGCAGCCACUGGUUGAUCUGGCAGCCACUGGCUGGAAGCCUGCGUCUUCUUGAACUCUCUGAGCUUCUUCUUUUUAACCUCCUCAGUCGGACUCGCAAACUUUUUCACUAUAUCAGCCCACGUUAAAGGUGUAGGAGCUGGGACUGUGGGUGUCUCUGCCUCCUAUUUCUCCAUAAUCUCACCCCCUGUGAGAGGUGUAGGAGUUGGGACUGUGGGGGUCUCUUCUGCCUCUUCCUCCAUAAUCACACCCAAUGUGCAAGGUGUAGGUGUGGGGGCUGUGGACGUCUUUUCCUCCUCUUCCUCCAUAAUCACACCCAAUGUGUGAGGUGUAGGAGUGGGGGAUGUGGACGUCUCUUCCUCCAUAAUCACUCCCAAUGUGCGAGGUGUACGAGUGAGGGCUGUGGACGUCUCUUCCUCCUCUUCCUCCAUAAUCACACCCAAUGUGCAUGGUGUAGGAGUGGGGGCUGUGGACGGCUCUUCCUCCUCUUCCUCCAUAAUCACACCCAAUGUGCACGGUGUAGGAGUGGGGGCUGUGGAUGUCUCUUCCUCCAUAAUCACACCCAAUGUGUGAGGUGUACGAGUGGGGGCUGCGGACGUCUCUUCCUCCUCUUCCUCCAUAAUCACACCCAAUAUGCGAGGUGUAGGAGUGGGGGCUGUGGACAUCUCUUCCUCCUCUUCCUCCAUAAUCACACCCAAUGUGCACGGUGUAGGAGCGGGGACUGUGGAAGUCUCUUCCUCCUCUUCCUCCAUAAUCACACCCAAUGUGCGAGGUGUGCGAGUGGGGGCUGUGGACGUCUCUUCCUCCUCUUCCUCCAUAAUCACACCCAAUGUGCGAGGUGUAGGAGUGGGGGCUGUGGACGUCUUUUCCACCUCUGCCUCCAUAAUCUCAGCCCAAGUGGGAAUUGAAGGAGUUGGGACUGUGGAGGUCUCUGCCUCCUCUGCCUCCAUAAUCUCAGCCCAAGUGAGAGAUGUAGGAGUUGGAACUGUGGACGUCUCUUCCUGCUCUUCCUCCUCUUCCUCCAUAAUCACACCCAACGUGUGUGGUGUAGGAGUGGGGGCUGUGGACGUCUUUUCCUCCUCUUCCUCCAUAAUCUCAGCCCAAGUGGGAAUUGAAGGUGUUGGGACUGUGGAGGUCUCUGCCUCCUCUUCCUCCAUAACCUCAGCCCAAGUGAGAGGUGUAGGAUUUGGGACUGUGGAGGUCUCUCCCUCCUCUGCCUCCAUAACCUCAACCCAAGUGGGAAUUGAAGGAGUUGGGACUGUGGAGGUCUCUGCCUCCUCUGCCUCCAUAAUUUCACCCCCUGUGAGAGGUAAAAGAGUUGAGGCUGUGGAUGUCUCUGGCUCCUCUGCCUCCAUAAUCUCACCCCCUGUGAUAGGUGAAGGAGUUGGAGCUGUGGAUGUCUCGGCCUCCUCUGCCUCCAUAGUCUCACCCCCUGUGAGAGGUGGAUGAGUUGGGACUGUGGAGGUCUCUGCCUUCUCUUCCUCCAUAAUCACACCCAAUGUGCACGGUGUAGGAGUGGGGGUUGUGGAUGUCUCUUCCUCCUCUUCUUCCAUAAUCACACCCAAUGUGCGAGGUGUAGGAGUGGGGGCUGUGGACGUCUCUUCCUCCUCUUCCUCCUCUUCCUCCAUAAUCACACCCAAUGUGCGAGGUGUAGGAGUGGGGUCUGUGGACAUCUCUUCCUCCUCUUCCUCCAUAAUCACACCCAAUGUGCGAGCUGUAGGAGUGGGGGCUGUGGACGUCUCUUCCUCAUCUUCCUCCAUAAUCUCAGCCCAAAUGGGAAUUGAAGGAGUUGGAACUGUGGACGUCUCUUCCUCCUCUUCCUCCAUAAUCACACCCAAUGUGCGAGGUGUAGGAGUGGGGACUGUGGACGUCUCUUCCUCCUCUGCGUCCAUAAUCUCAGCCCAAGUGGGAAUUGAAGGAGUUGGGACUCUGGAGGUCUCUGCCUCCAUAACCUCAGCCCAAGUGAGAGGUGUAGGAGUUGGGACUGUGGAGGUCUCUCCAUCCUCUGCCUCCAUAACCUCAGCCCAAGUGGGAAUUGAAGGUGUUGGGACUGUGGAUGUCUCUGCCUCCUCUGCCUCCAUACUUUCACCCCCUGUGAGAGGUGAAGGAGUUGGGGCUGUGGACGUCUCGGGCUCCUCUGCCUCCAUAAUCUCACCCCCUGUGAGAGGUGAAGGAGUUGUGGGUGUGGAUGGAGACACUUCAUCUCUGCUUUGGUCAGGAGACAGAUUGGAGGUGGGCUGACGCUCAAGCUCUGACACAUGUGGUGAUGUGGACACAGGUGC
ensembl:lncRNA